rnacentral:rRNA from 1 species
UGGGGGAUAUUGCACAAUGGGCGAAAGCCUGAUGCAGCGACGCCGCGUGGGGGAUGAAGGCCUUCGGGUUGUAAACUUCUUUUGCUCUGAACAAGGCAUGCCUUUGGGGUGUGUUGAGUGUAGGGGUUGAUUAGCGCCGGCUAACUACGUGCCAGCAGCCGCGGUAAUACGUAGGGCGCGAGCGUUGUCCGGAAUUAUUGGGCGUAAAGGGCUUGUAGGUGGCUGGUUGCGUCUGUCGUGAAAGCUCAUGGCUUAACUGUGGGUUUGCGGUGGGUACGGGCUGGCUUGAGUGCAGUAGGGGAGGCUGGAAUUCCUGGUGUAGCGGUGGAAUGCGCAGAUAUCAGGAGGAAUACCGGUGGCGAAGGCGGGUCUCUAGGCUGUUACUGACGCUGAGGAGCGAAAGCGUGGGGAGCGAACAGG